AUAAUGGGUCAGCGACUUAUAUUCUGUAGCAAGGUUAACCGAAUAGGGGAGCCGAAGGGAAACCGAGUCUUAACUGGGCGUUAAGUUGCAGGGUAUAGACCCGAAACCCGGUGAUCUAGCCAUGGGCAGGUUGAAGGUUGGGUAACACUAACUGGAGGACCGAACCGACUAAUGUUGAAAAAUUAGCGGAUGACUUGUGGCUGGGGGUGAAAGGCCAAUCAAACCGGGAGAUAGCUGGUUCUCCCCGAAAGCUAUUUAGGUAGCGCCUCGUGAAUUCAUCUCCGGGGGUAGAGCACUGUUUCGGCAAGGGGGUCAUCCCGACUUACCAACCCGAUGCAAACUGCGAAUACCGGAGAAUGUUAUCACGGGAGACACACGGCGGGUGCUAACGUCCGUCGUGAAGAGGGAAACAACCCAGACCGCCAGCUAAGGUCCCAAAGUCAUGGUUAAGUGGGAAACGAUGUGGGAAGGCCCAGACAGCCAGGAUGUUGGCUUAGAAGCAGCCAUCAUUUAAAGAAAGCGUAAUAGCUCACUGGUCGAGUCGGCCUGCGCGGAAGAUGUAACGGGGCUAAACCAUGCACCGAAGCUGCGGCAGCGACGCUUAUGCGUUGUUGGGUAGGGGAGCGUUCUGUAAGCCUGUGAAGGUGUACUGUGAGGUAUGCUGGAGGUAUCAGAAGUGCGAAUGCUGACAUAAGUAACGAUAAAGCGGGUGAAAAGCCCGCUCGCCGGAAGACCAAGGGUUCCUGUCCAACGUUAAUCGGGGCAGGGUGAGUCGACCCCUAAGGCGAGGCCGAAAGGCGUAGUCGAUGGGAAACAGGUUAAUAUUCCUGUACUUGGUGUUACUGCGAAGGGGGGACGGAGAAGGCUAUGUUGGCCGGGCGACGGUUGUCCCGGUUUAAGCGUGUAGGCUGGUUUUCCAGGCAAAUCCGGAAAAUCAAGGCUGAGGCGUGAUGACGAGGCACUACGGUGCUGAAGCAACAAAUGCCCUGCUUCCAGGAAAAGCCUCUAAGCAUCAGGUAACAUCAAAUCGUACCCCAAACCGACACAGGUGGUCAGGUAGAGAAUACCAAGGCGCUUGAGAGAACUCGGGUGAAGGAACUAGGCAAAAUGGUGCCGUAACUUCGGGAGAAGGCACGCUGAUAUGUAGGUGAAGCGACUUGCUCGUGGAGCUGAAAUCAGUCGAAGAUACCAGCUGGCUGCAACUGUUUAUUAAAAACACAGCACUGUGCAAACACGAAAGUGGAC
rnacentral:rRNA from 1 species